rnacentral:pre_miRNA from 1 species
CAAAGUGCUCAUAGUGCAGGUAGUUUUUAUAUUGCUCUACUGCGGUAUGGGCACUUUCAGU